AGAGCGAACGCUGGCGGCAGGCCUAAACAUGCAAGUCGAACGGACCCUUCGGGGUUAGUGGCGGACGGGUGAGUAACACGUGGGAACGUGCCUUUUGGUUCAGAACAACUCAGGGAAACUUGAGCUAAUACUGAAUAAGCCCUACGGGGGAAAGAUUUAUCGCCAUUAGAGCGGCCCGCGUUGGAUUAGCUAGUUGGUGAGGUAAAGGCUCACCAAGGCUACGAUCCAUAGCUGGCCUGAGAGGAUGAUCAGCCACACUGGGACUGAGACACGGCCCAGACUCCUACGGGAGGCAGCAGUUAGGAAUCUUGCGCAAUGGGCGAAAGCCUGACGCAGCCAUGCCGCGUGAAUGAUGAAGGUCUUAGGAUUGUAAAAUUCUUUCAGCGGGGACGAUAAUGACGGUACCGCAGAAGAAGCCCCGGCUAACUCGUGCCAGCAGCCGC
rnacentral:rRNA from 1 species